rnacentral:rRNA from 1 species
AGAGUUUGAUCAUGGCUCAGGAUGAACGCUAGCGGCAGGCUUAACACAUGCAAGUCGAGGGGCAGCAUAAUGGAUAGCAAUAUCUAUGGUGGCGACCGGCGCACGGGUGCGUAACGCGUAUGCAACCUACCUUUAACAGGGGGAUAACACUGAGAAAUUGGUACUAAUACCCCAUAAUAUCAUAGAAGGCAUCUUUUAUGGUUGAAAAUUCCGAUGGUUAGAGAUGGGCAUGCGUUGUAUUAGCUAGUUGGUGGGGUAACGGCUCACCAAGGCACGGAUACAUAGGGGGACUGGAGAGGUUAACCCCCACACUGGUACUGAGACACGGACAGACUCUACGGGAGGCA